rnacentral:rRNA from 1 species
UACGGAGGGUGCAAACGUUGCUCGGAAUCAUUGGGCGUAAAGCACACGUAGGCGGCCGAUUAAGUCGGGUGUGAAAGCCCCGGGCUCAACCCGGGAAGUGCACUCGAAACUGACCGGCUUGAAUAUGGAAGAGGGUCGCGGAAUUCCCGGUGUAGAGGUGAAAUUCGUAGAUAUCGGGAGGAACACCAGUGGCGAAGGCGGCGACCUGGGCCAAUAUUGACGCUGAGGUGCGAAAGCGUGGGGAGCAAACAGG